rnacentral:rRNA from 1 species
UACGGGGGGGGCAAGCGUUGUUCGGAAUUACUGGGCGUAAAGGGCUCGUAGGCGGCCAACUAAGUCAGACGUGAAAUCCCUCAGCUUAACUGGGGAACUGCGUCUGAUACUGGAUGGCUUGGAUUCGGGAGAGGAAUGCGGAAUUCCAGGUGUAGCGGUGAAAUGCGUAGAUAUCUGGAGGAACACCGGUGGCGAAGGCGGCAUCCUGGACCAAUUCUGACACUGAGGAGCGAAAGCCAGGGGAGCAAACGGG